GGAAUUAGAUUCAGGCCUAUCUCAUGCAAGUCGAACGGUAUCGCGGGGCAACGUGUUGAUGAGUGGCGAGCGGGUGAGUAAUGCAUCGGAACGUGCCCAGUAGUGGGUGAUAGCCGGGUGAAAGCGGGAUUAAUGCGGCAUACGACCUAUGGGUGAAAGAGGGGUAUCCCUAGACGUCUCGCUAUUGGAGCGGCUGAUGUCAGAUUAGGUAGUUGGUAGGGUAAAGGCCUGCCAAGCUUAUGAUCUGUAGCUGGUCUGAGAGGGCGUCCAGCCACACUGGUAUUGAGACACGGCCCAGAAUCCUACGGGAGGCAGCAGUGGGGAAUUUUGGACAAUGGGUUCAAGCCUGAUCCACCCAUGCCGCGUGCGGGAAGAAGACCUUCGGGUUUAAACCAAAGGGUCAGGGAAGAAACGCUCUGGACUAAUACUCUGGGGUAAUGACGGUACCGAAGAAUAGC
rnacentral:rRNA from 1 species